UACGUAGGGGGCUAGCGUUGUCCGGAAUCAUUGGGCGUAAAGAGCGUGUAGGCGGUUCGGUAGGUCCGUUGUGAAAACUCGAGCUCAACCUCGAGACGCCGAUGGAAACCCCCGAACCUAGAGUCCGGAAGAGGAGAGUGGAAUUCCUGGUGUAGCGGUGAAAUGCGCAGAUAUCAGGAAGAACACCCGUGGCUAAGGCGGCUCUCUAGUACGGUACUGACGCUGAGACGCGAAAGCGUGGGGAGCGAACAGG
rnacentral:rRNA from 1 species